UUGAGUUUCAGUUCUAUGUAUGGGGACCCCCAAAAUUUAUUGUUUUUUUUCUAUCAUUGCGUAAAAAUCUUAAUGCGGUUCACAGAAUACACAUAUUUAUCAAGUUUCAACAGUAUAGCUAUUAUAGUUUCGGAGAAAAGUGGCUUGGACAUACGAACGGACAGUCAGACAUGACGAAUCCAUAAAGGUUCCAUUUUUGCCAUUUGGCUAUGGAACCCUAAUAACGAAACCUAACCCAGCCUGCAGUGCCAGUCGACAUUUAACCCCUUUCAACUCGCAGCCAAUUCGUUUUUAAAUAAUACUGAUAAGGUUUUGUGUAUUUUUUGACUCUAAUAAAAUGCGUAGAUAAUUUCACUUCAUACCACGAUUCUAACUACUUGUCACCAAACGUAUAUUGACUGGUGAUUUAAGAAAUUUUAUCAAUGCAAGUGCAAGUCGUAUAGCGUCUUUAGCGCAAUACAAUAAUUGUAAUAAUAAGGACGAUUAUUAUUUUAUUUAAUUAACAAUAUUUUGUAAGUACUACGCUUUAGUAUUUAUGUAGUAAUAUUUGGUAAGUUCUAAAUAAAGAGUUACUAUAGUUGUAAA